rnacentral:rRNA from 1 species
ACUGCUCAGUAACACGUGGACAACCUACCCUUAGGCCUGGGAUAACCCCGGGAAACUGGGAAUAAUACCGGAUAUCUCGCGAAUGCUGGAAUGCGUCGCGAUAUAAAGCUCCGGCGCCUAAGGAUGGGUCUGCGGCCUAUCAGGGUAGUAGUGGGUGUAAUGUACCUACUAGCCUACGACGGGUACGGGUUGUGAGAGCAAGAGCCCGGAGAUGGAUUCUGAGACACGAAUCCAGGCCCUACGGGGUGCAGCAGGCGCGAAAACUUUACAAUGCCGGCAACGGCGAUAAGGGGACCUCGAGUGCCAGGAUACAAUCCUGGCUGUCGUAAUGCCUAAAAAGCAUUGCAUAGCAAGGGCCGGGCAAGACCGGUGCCAGCCGCCGCGGUAACGCCGGCGGCUCGAGUGGUAACCGCUAUUAUUGGGUCUAAAGGGUCUGUAGCCGGCUGAAUAAGUCUCUUGGGAAAUCUGGCAGCUCAACUGUCAGGCUUUCAGGAGAUACUGUUCGGCUCGAGACCGGGAGAGGUGAGAGGUACCUCAGGGGUAGGGGUGAAAUCUUGUAAUCCUUGAGGGACCACCAGUGGCGAAGGCGUCUCACCAGAACGGAUCUGACGGCAAGGGACGAAAGCUAGGGGCACGAACCGGAUUAGAUACCCGGGUAGUCCUAGCCGUAAACGAUACUCGCUA